rnacentral:rRNA from 1 species
UACAGAGGGUGCGAGCGUUGUCCGGAAUUACUGGGCGUAAAGGGCGCGUAGGCGGCCUGUUAAGUCGAACGUGAAAUCCCCGGGCUCAACCCGGGAACUGCGUCCGAUACUGGCAGGCUUGAAUUCGGGAGAGGGAUGCGGAAUUCCAGGUGUAGCGGUGAAAUGCGUAGAUAUCUGGAGGAACACCGGUGGCGAAGGCGGCAUCCUGGACCGAGAUUGACGCUGAUGCGCGAAAGCCAGGGGAGCAAACGGG